rnacentral:lncRNA from 1 species
ACCUUUCAGCUUCAAAAUGGCUUUUAUUUCCACUGGAAUUGUAGAGGACUCUUACGCAACUUAGGUGACAUCAAAGACAUGCUAAACAUCUUAUCACCAG